GGGGAAUUUUCCGCAAUGGGCGAAAGCCUGACGUAGCAAGACCGCGUGAGGGAAGAAGUCCAUCGGGUGGUGAACYUMUKAAAUCAAGUAAGAAGAAUSUGUCGGUAUUUGAGGAAUAAGCAUCGGCUAACUCCUCCCAAUUUUCGCGGUAAGUCGGAGGAUGCAAGCCUUAUCCGGAAUUAUUGGGYGUAAAGGGUGAAAUGGUGGUUCUCAAGUCGGCAGUCAAAGACCGGAGYUUAAAUUCGGAAAGACUGUGGAAACUGAGAGACUAGAGAGAGGUAGGGGUAAGGGGAAUUCCCGGUGUAGCGGUGAAAUGUGUAGAGUUUGGGAAGAUCACCGGUGGCGAAAGCGCSUUUUUGGRCCUCCUSUGAAWUUCAGGGACGAAAGCUAGGGGAGCGAAUGGGAUGAGAUACCCCGAUAGUC
rnacentral:rRNA from 1 species